rnacentral:rRNA from 1 species
AGCCACUGCCAUGUCACCCUGCAGCCCAAGACCGGUUACUCACUGAAGCUAAGCAGGGCUGAGCCUGGUCAGUACCUGGAUGGGAGACCACAAGGGAACACUAGGUUGCUGUUGGAA